AAUUUAGGAUUGUGUUAUUUUUCACCUAUGAUAUCAAGGGUUAAUUUUUUUUUUUUCAUUCAAAACUGCAUAGGUCCCACACAGUGUGAGAGCACAGUCUAUGCAGAAGUUCAGGUAAGAUAUAAAUAAUUUUUGUUCAUGUAGACAUUUAGCCAUUAAUGUCAAUAAAUACUGUAAAUGAUUUGAUUCAGGGUUUUAAGGUUUAGAUUGUGUCAAAACCUCUAUGGAAGGUAGCAUGAAACAUGGCAUAUUUGAUAAUGAUGAUAAUGUUGGUAAUCAUGCUUACAGAGAAACGAUGCAGCACUGGAGAUGCAUUCUACUAUGUACAGUACUGUACAGAAGAAACCGCCACCUACAAGUAUUGGACAAUCCAGGCAAACCCCUGCACAGCGCUUGAUCUCAGCGGAGCCUUGCAUUUCUAGCAUCUAUGAAUCAGUUCCGGAUCAGACACAACCUAUGAAAUCUGGAACCAUUUAUACCACCAUUUCCAGUCUCAGCAAAGUGAAUUAAGCCAAUUUGAAUGGAACCACAUCACUGUGAGAAACCGGUGCCACUCUUGAUUUGCAUAGUUGGCUAAGAAGAUUCCCGGUGAUUUUGCAGUCAUCUCAUGGGAGUCCACAAAAGUACAACUGGCCCUUUUCUAAUUGGAUGUAAAGGAUGGCUUUGGCCCACUGCUGAGGAGAGCCAGAACUUUUUUCAUACAGCUUUUUCAUUUACACUGAGACACAGUAAUAAAACUGAACAAUUCCACUUCACAGAUCAGUGUUUAAUACAGAAACCAUUUAAUUGUAAGUAAAAAUACUUAAUAUAACUCGGACUGGUAACAUCUGUGCUCCCUGAAGCUGACCAUGUCUCUCUCCAGCUUCAAUGCCAAGGCCUCAGGCAAGUUGCACUGGUAGGCCAGCUGUGUGUGGACCCGAAGGUCAGUUGAAGAACUGCCAUGAUGAACUGGUCUUGGACUGACUCACUCUGUACAGAAGAUGGUGAUCAUAAGUCCAUCUACCUAAAGUUUCAGGAUCUUUAGCUAGGGUUCUUAAUGGUUCCCCUGUCUGGUUACAUAAUUUAGACCAAAGGAGCUCAGAAAGACUGCCAAAAAGGGGCAGUUUAGCAUGUCAAAUUGGCCUGACUGCAUGUCUUUGGACUGCGGGAUUUAAAUCAGCAAAUUAAUAUGAAUGAUCUUUUCAGUGUCUCUAGUCUGCACAUCUACAUUUUCUACAGUCCAAAGAUGGCAGCACAUUCACUGACAUAACUGCUUUCAAUUGGUUUUUGCCAGGUAAACAACUGAUUGAGUUGUUUAGAAAUGUAUCUAAUUUAUCAUUGAUCUGUUUCGAAUUGUGUUGUGAAGGUUUCAUUUUCAGGAGAAUGUUCAUGGUUUUGUAACCAGAGGUUCAUUUUGCUCUCAGUUUUGGAGAAUUUGCUAAAUGUUACACACAAUUAGUAAAUUCUGUGUUGAAUAUGUGUGAACAUUUGAGAGCAGAGACACUUUGUGCUGAAAUGUGUGUAAGCGGUUAAGAAAAACUAAGUAAUCAAAUGUGUUGGUGCCAGGUCUGUUCUUUUCAUCUGAUGUGUAGACAUCAGAUUGAAAAAUGCUUAUUUGGUGUUGCAAGGUUGUGUUUUUGAUGCUUAAUGUCUUUUUAUAUUUUCUAGCAUUAUAUCAUAAGAGGAUUUGCCCUACAACGAUUUUGUGGUAUCAUGUAAGGUCUUGCUGGACUUACCUAGUGAUUUGUCUCAGAUUAAAGGUGGGGUGACUUGUUAUACUCCUGCUGUAGGUGUGUGCCACUUAUU
ensembl:lncRNA